UGGACUCCUCUACCCCUGAGU
rnacentral:misc_RNA from 1 species